rnacentral:rRNA from 1 species
CUCCUACGGGUGGCUGCAGUGAGGAAUAUUGGUCAAUGGACGCAAGUCUGAACCAGCCAUGCCGCGUGAAGGAUGAAGGCGUUCUGCGUUGUAAACUUCUUUUAUCUGGGAAGAAACCUCCGAUUUCUAUUGGAGCCGACGGUACCAGAUGAAUAAGCACCGGCUAACUCCGUGCCAGCAGCCGCGGUAAUACGGAGGGUGCAAGCGUUAUCCGGAUUCACUGGGUUUAAAGGGUGUGUAGGCGGGCUUUUAAGUCAGUGGUGAAAUCUCCGAGCUCAACUCGGAAACUGCCAUUGAUACUAUUAGUCUUGAAUAUUGUUGAGGUAGGCGGAAUAUGUCAUGUAGCGGUGAAAUGCUUAGAUAUGACAUAGAACACCGAUUGCGAAGGCAGCUUGCUAAACAAUUAUUGACGCUGAGGCACGAAAGCGUGGGGAUCAAACAGGAUUAGAUACCCUGGUAGUCCACGCCCUAAACGAUGAUUACUGGACAUUUGCGAUAUACAGUGAGUGUCUGAGCGAAAGCAUUAAGU